GAUACAGCUGAGCUCCACUUCUAGCAAAUGGUUUUUUCCCAGAAGGCCUCACACACCUGUGUGCCUGGAACCCAGGAGGGCUGGGACUUGUGUGUUGGUGAGCUUGCUGGCAGCAGAGUGCUGUGUGCUGCUCCUGCUGGGUCUGCUGUGCUGGGACACUGAGCAGCGUGAGGUCUUCUUCUGCCUCUGCUGGCAGAGGGUGCUCCAUGACCAUCCCCCAGGGCUAUGUCCUCUCGUUUCCUACUGCUUGUUGCAGGCCUGAAGCUGAGUGCCUGAGCCAGCUGAAAAGCCUUCCUACAUGACUUCUCAGAAGCUGAAAUAUGUUGUGACCGUCUCCCAUCGCAGACUGUACCUGUCGGCAGCUCUGUUCCUGUAGCAUCGUGUCCGCAGCAACAAAGCCAGGAGAAGUGGUGUUCCCUUCAGAGGAAGAAAGUGGCCGGAUGCCCUCCAGCCACACAGCAGCAGCAGCAGCAGCACGUACUGAUGCAUUUGGAAGGUGCUGGACUGGGGGCUCGGACUCCAACCUGAAGAGUGCAC